GUGAGGAAUAUUGGUCAAUGGCGGCAACGCUGAACCAGCCAAGUAGCGUGAGGGAUUACGGCCCUAUGGGUCUUAAACCUCUUUUGUUGGGGAGCAACCUGUGCCACUUGUGGCACACUGCGAGUACCCUUCGAAUAAGCAUCGGCUAACUCCGUGCCAGCAGCCGCGGUAAUACGGAGGAUGCGAGCGUUAUCCGGAUUUAUUGGGUUUAAAGGGAGCGCGGACCGGAGAUUAAGUCAGCUGUUAAAUGGCGGCGCCCAACGCCGUCCUGCGGUUGAUACUGGUUUCCUUGAGUGCGGCAUGGGCAGGCGGAAUUCACGGUGUAGCGGUGAAAUGCUUAGAUAUCGUGAAGAACUCCGAUCGCGAAGGCAGCCUGCCGGACCGUUACUGACGUUUAGGCUCGAAAGUGCGGGUAUCAAACAGG
rnacentral:rRNA from 1 species